AGAGUUUGAUCUUGGUUCAGAAUGAACGCUAGCUACAGGCUUAACACAUGCAAGUCGAGGGGCAGCAUGACGGAAGCUUGCUUCCGUUGAUGGCGACCGGCGCACGGGUGAGUAACGCGUAUCCAACCUGCCCUUGUCCAUCGGAUAACCCGUCGAAAGGCGGACUAACACGAUAUGCAGUCCACAGCAGGCAUCUAACGUGGACGAAAUGCGAAGGAGAAGGAUGGGGAUGCGUCUGAUUAGCUUGUUGGCGGGGUAACGGCCCACCAAGGCGACGAUCAGUAGGGGUUCUGAGAGGAAGGUCCCCCACAUUGGAACUGAGACACGGUCCAAACUCCUACGGGAGGCAGCAGUGAGGAAUAUUGGUCAAUGGGCGAGAGCCUGAACCAGCCAAGUAGCGUGCAGGAAGACGGCCCUAUGGGUUGUAAACUGCUUUUAUACGGGGAUAAAGUGGGCCACGUGUGGCUUAUUGCAGGUACCGUAUGAAUAAGGACCGGCUAAUUCCGUGCCAGCAGCCGCGGUAAUACGGAAGGUCCGGGCGUUAUCCGGAUUUAUUGGGUUUAAAGGGAGCGUAGGCCGUCUGUUAAGCGUGUUGUGAAAUGUCGGGGCUCAACCUGGGCAUUGCAGCGCGAACUGGCAGACUUGAGUGCGCAGGAAGUAGGCGGAAUUCGUCGUGUAGCGGUGAAAUGCUUAGAUAUGACGAAGAACUCCGAUUGCGAAGGCAGCCUGCUGUAGCGUAACUGACGCUGAAGCUCGAAAGCGUGGGUAUCGAACAGGAUUAGAUACCCUGGUAGUCCACGCGGUAAACGAUGGAUGCUCGCUGUUUGCG
rnacentral:rRNA from 1 species